GUCCAAAUGAAAGUAAAUUGCAGUAAUUACUUUACUACACACAUAGAACAAGAUAAAUCAAACAAUAUGGGGGGACUAGCAAGGGAGGUGUAUGGGGGUAUCAAACUAUCCCCUCCCCCACUCUAACCGAAAUCAUUAGAGAAAAUGUAAAAACGAAUACACAGAAUUUGUAUGUGACUGACCAGUACAGUGCUACAUAUACAACCUGGAAUAUGUGGGUGCCCAUUGAAACAGAGCUACUGUAUGUGGGUGCCCCUUGAAAUAGUAAAAAG